rnacentral:rRNA from 1 species
ACCUCCAAUCAGUCAAGAAUACCCGCUGAAUUUAAGCAUAUAACUAGGCGGAGGAAAAGAAACUAACCAGGAUUCCCUCAGUAACUGCGAGUGAAGCGGGAAAAGCUCAGACUGAAAAUCUUCGGAAUUGUAGUCUGGAGAAGUAUGGUCAGCCGAUGAUGAUGAGUGAAGUCUUCUGGAAAGGAGCGCCUUGGAGGGUGAUAGCCCCGUUCAUACUUAUCAUUAGAAGCGUACGACCUGCUUUCUACGAGUCGUGUUGUUUGGGACUGCAGCACUAAGUGGGUGGUAAAUUCCAUCUAAAGCUAAAUAUUGGUGGGAGACCGAUAGCGAACAAGUACCGUGAGGGAAAGAUGCAAAGAACUUUGAAAAGAGAGUUAAAUAGUACCUGAAAUUGCUGAAAUGGAACCGAUGGGAAGCAGUGUCGGUGGC